rnacentral:lncRNA from 1 species
AAGGUGGGUUUUCUUAAUCUUCCUUUCAAGAUCCUUCUGUGUGAUAUGCUUCUUCUGAACCCCAUCCGAAAAUCAGCAUGCUUUUGCUUGUUUCUUUCUUGACGGAACAAAAAAAUUGGUGGUUGGUCUAUGACAAAAAAUUGAUAGUGAACAACAUCUAGAUCAGAGCCUGAUCAGUUGUGUUGUUGCAAAAAUAAAGAGAGACAAAAAAACUCAUAUCUAGAUCCAGUGUGUGGCAUAUUUUUAGCUAGAUGUCAGAAGUGGUAGCUGUAGCAGAGAUUGAGAGAUCUAGAUAAAUUGACUGAACCAAUAAUUCAGUUUUCUGAAUCUUUUACAUACAGUUUGUGUACAAUUAGAUACAAUAUGCAAUAAGUGAGAACAAACAGAGGGAGAAAAACUUCAAUUAUUCAUAUAUAUUCCUCCCAUUAUUUAGUAUCACAAACAUGAGUUCAGCUGGUAUGAAUCUAACAAAUUCAGUCUUACUGAACAAAUUCUCUAACAGAUUCAGUCUUUAUCAAAAAAAUUCCUGGCUCAAGUUCAAUGGAUCAAAAUCCUCACCCCCCUACUACCCAACCCCCCUAGUUCCCAACCUUACCUACACAAAAUUCACCAGCAAGCCGACGGGUUCUACAGUUCAAUUUGCGGCGCUGAGUUGAACUGAGCUGAACCAAAGUGGCCUGUAUGCUCCUACAAAAAUAGAGUUAGGUUGUUUGUGUAAAAGAUAAUGACUAUACAAUAUUGAUCACAGUAAAAACUAGGGGCU